GCUCACUGGAAACAACCACUAUUUGUUUGUGAACCUCAUUAGGGUUAGCGAAGACGAUUAUUACGCUGACUGCCAGUUUUUUAGCUUAGCCACAUAUUUCAGCAGGGUUUUUUCUUGCAGUUAAAGACUACCUGCCAUCAAUUCUGAAGUGUGAUGUAUCUGUUGAAGCAAUCCAAAAAGGUGUGUUACUGAGCAGUCUUUGCAUCAUUUCCCAGGCCAAAUUGACUCACCCGGGCAAAAUAGUGCAGAAUGUUGUUUGAUGCUGGGAGCAGUCGAAGUCAUGCCGAAUGAUGGGAUUACAGCACUCGUGGAUAUUUCUGAUUGCUGUGGAAAAAGUGAAGGUUGGCAGUUCUGUAUGCAAAUUCGUUCCAUCAGGGGAGAGGUUGAUGAUUCAGCGCCAGACGGUCGUAGCCAUAGCGACCCAGACACUCUCUACAUCUUGCCCAUCGGAAGCAGCAACACACAAUGAGGGACCCUCAGUGACAGGUUGCUAAUGGAAACAGUGACAUGAUGGUUUUCUCCUGGUGAAUCUUAAUUCUUCGUAAUCCAUUUCAACUGGAAGUGUAUCACUGCAGUUUGUGAGGAAGGAAAUGAGUCACGUGUGAUGUAAGCAUGCAAUCUCUCUCCCUCAUUCUCUAUCCAUCCAUCCAUCCAUCUAUCUAUUGCAUAUAUAAUUAGUUCAUGAA